AGGACCAAGGCGCUCGCCAGAGUCCGCGCCGCCAUCCCUGGCGGGAACCAGGGACCGAGGACUGUGCGGGGACGGGGACGUGGACGGGCUCCGCGCCGGUGAUGGGGGAGGGGUUCCGAACGCCCGCGGAUUGUGGGAGGGAGGAGGCUCCGAACAGUCGGGAAGCCUAGUGGAGGAGGGGACUGGGGACAAGGGGGCUGCCAACACCCAGCGACGGAGACGGGGACUCCGACAUGGCACUUGUUGGAGGGUCUCACGAAACUCAGGAACUGGGUCUCUUCUGAGGUAGACAGACCACAACUGCAGAGCAUCGUCAGACAGGAGAUAAAUACGUCCAUGUACAACACGCAGCAAAAUGAGGAAGCAGACCUGUGAGAUGUAAUAAACAACGUCCUUCUUGCCAUCCAUGCUGUAAACACAGCGGAGAUGUUCCUUGGCUGUUCCUGACACCCCCUUAGCACCUCCCAGCGUGAGCCAAACACUCUGGACCUCUUGAGGGAAGCCCAGUCACCCAAAGGAACAGAUGAUUCUCUAACUUCAGAUGGCCCACACCGCAUUCCCCUUCGAGGCAGCCCAGCAACCUGGGGAAGGAACAUAGUGUGGCGGGAAGAGUCCUGCCCAAGGCCACCAGCCCAAAAGGGGCAGAAUUGGCACUUGCACUCAAGGACUUUGCUUCAGCCCUGAACACAGCCUCUAAUCCUGUACUGUCCAAUGACA
rnacentral:lncRNA from 1 species